GCCCGCCUAGCUCAAUCGGAUAGAGCGUCAGACUCUUAAGUUAGGCAUCUGAAGGCUGCGAGUUCGACCCUCGCGGUGGGCU